UGGGGAAUAUUGCACAAUGGGCGCAAGCCUGAUGCAGCCAUGCCGCGUGUAUGAAGAAGGCCUUCGGGUUGUAAAGUACUUUCAGCGAUGAGGAAGGCGUUGUGGUUAAUAACCGCAACGAUUGACGUUACUCGCAGAAGAAGCACCGGCUAACUCCGUGCCAGCAGCCGCGGUAAUACGGAGGGUGCAAGCGUUAAUCGGAAUUACUGGGCGUAAAGCGCACGCAGGCGGUCUGUCAAGUCGGAUGUGAAAUCCCCGGGCUCAACCUGGGAACUGCAUCCGAAACUGGCAGGCUAGAGUCUUGUAGAGGGGGGUAGAAUUCCAGGUGUAGCGGUGAAAUGCGUAGAGAUCUGGAGGAAUACCGGUGGCGAAGGCGGCCCCCUGGACAAAGACUGACGCUCAGGUGCGAAAGCGUGGGGAGCAAACA
rnacentral:rRNA from 1 species